rnacentral:rRNA from 1 species
CGGGGGGCAGCAGUUUCGAAUCAUUCACAAUGGGCGAAAGCCUGAUGGUGCGACGCCGCGUGAGGGAUGAAGGUCUUCGGAUUGUAAACCUCUGUCACCGGGGAAGAAACGCUUCAAGUUAAUAGCUUGAAGCCUGACUUAACCCGGAGAGGAAGCAGUGGCUAACUCUGUGCCAGCAGCCGCGGUAAUACAGAGACUGCAAGCGUUAUUCGGAUUCACUGGGCGUAAAGGGUGCGCAGGUGGCCAAGUGUGUGAGGCGUGAAAGCCCGGGGCUUAACCCCGGAAUUGCACCUCAAACUACUUGGCUAGAGCAUUGGAGAGGGGAGCAGAAUUCAUGGUGUAGCAGUGAAAUGCGUAGAUAUCAUGAGGAAUACCAGAGGCGAAGGCGGCUCCCUGGACAAUUGCUGACACUCAGGCACGAAAGCGUGGGGAGCAAAAGGGAUUAGAUACCCCGGU